CGCUAUCUACAGGCUUAACACAUGCAAGUCGAGGGGCAGCAUGGUCUUAGCUUGCUAAGGCCGAUGGCGACCGGCGCACGGGUGAGUAACACGUAUCCAACCUGCCGUCUACUCUUGGACAGCCUUCUGAAAGGAAGAUUAAUACAAGAUGGCAUCAUGAGUCCGCAUGUUCACAUGAUUAAAGGUAUUCCGGUAGACGAUGGGGAUGCGUUCCAUUAGAUAGUAGGCGGGGUAACGGCCCACCUAGUCUUCGAUGGAUAGGGGUUCUGAGAGGAAGGUCCCCCACAUUGGAACUGAGACACGGUCCAAACUCCUACGGGAGGCAGCAGUGAGGAAUAUUGGUCAAUGGGCGAGAGCCUGAACCAGCCAAGUAGCGUGAAGGAUGACUGCCCUAUGGGUUGUAAACUUCUUUUAUAAAGGAAUAAAGUCGGGUAUGGAUACCCGUUUGCAUGUACUUUAUGAAUAAGGAUCGGCUAACUCCGUGCCAGCAGCCGCGGUAAUACGGAGGAUCCGAGCGUUAUCCGGAUUUAUUGGGUUUAAAGGGAGCGUAGAUGGAUGUUUAAGUCAGUUGUGAAAGUUUGCGGCUCAACCGUAAAAUUGCAGUUGAUACUGGAUAUCUUGAGUGCAGUUGAGGCAGGCGGAAUUCGUGGUGUAGCGGUGAAAUGCUUAGAUAUCACGAAGAACUCCGAUUGCGAAGGCAGCCUGCUAAGCUGCAACUGACAUUGAGGCUCGAAAGUGUGGGUAUCAAACAGGAUUAGAUACCCUGGUAGUCCACACGGUAAACGAUGAAUACUCGCUGUUUGCGAUAUACAGCAAGCGGCCAAGCGAAAGCGUUAAGUAUUCCACCUGGGGAGUACGCCGGCAACGGUGAAACUCAAAGGAAUUGACGGGGGCCCGCACAAGCGGAGGAACAUGUGGUUUAAUUCGAUGAUACGCGAGGAACCUUACCCGGGCUUAAAUUGCAGAUGAAUUACGGUGAAAGCCGUAAGCCGCAAGGCAUCUGUGAAGGUGCUGCAUGGUUGCCGUCAGCUCGUGCCGUGAGGUGUCGGCUUAAGUGCCAUAACGAGCGCAACCCUUGUUGUCAGUUACUAACAGGUUCCGCUGAGGACUCUGACAAGACUGCCAUCGUAAGAUGUGAGGAAGGUGGGGAUGACGUCAAAUCAGCACGGCCCUUACGUCCGGGGCUACACACGUGUUACAAUGGGGGGUACAGAGGGCCGCUACCACGCGAGUGGAUGCCAAUCCCCAAAACCUCUCUCAGUUCGGACUGGAGUCUGCAACCCGACUCCACGAAGCUGGAUUCGCUAGUAAUCGCGCAUCAGCCACGGCGCGGUGAAUACGUUCCCGGGCCUUGUACACACCGCCCGUCAAGCCAUGGGAGCCGGGGGUACCUGAAGUGCGUAACCGCGAGGAGCGCCCUAGGGUAAAACUGGUGACUGG
rnacentral:rRNA from 1 species